GACGAAGGGGGCUAGCGUUGUUCGGAAUUACUGGGCGUAAAGGGCGCGUAGGCGGCUUGGCAAGUGGAUGGUGAAAUCCCUCGGCUUAACCGAGGAACUGCCGUCCAAACUGCUUAGCUUGAGACCGGGAGAGGUGAGUGGAAUUCCCAGUGUAGCGGUGGAAUGCGCAGAUAUCAGGAGGAACACCAAUAGCGAAGGCAGCUCGCUGGGACGUUACUGACACUGAGGCGCGAAAGCGUGGGGAGCGAACAGG
rnacentral:rRNA from 1 species